rnacentral:lncRNA from 1 species
UAAAUGACUGCAAGUCAACAAGAUAAAUGCUGUUAAUUCAUCUUCGUAAGUAAUAUAAACAUACAAUAGAGCAGGGUGACUUGGGUGUGACCUGUGGUGGGGGAGAAUUCGAUUGUCAGAGAAAGCCUUUUAAAGAGGUAUUUUCAGAGCUGAGAACAUGUGAGGACAGAGAGGCCAUGUGCUGUUGCUGGGAGUGGAUUCUAGAAGGAUAAGAAUGGAAGGUGGGGAGUCGCUAGGAGGCACCUUGGAGUAGUCAGACAACGGAAGAUGGUGGCUAGGUUGAAGGGGAGAGGUAGAGAUGAUUGACAGAAGUAAAGGAAGAAAAGAUGAGUUUUCAAAAAUUUCCUAAAGUAUUACUGUAAGGAGUUGAAAGUGCCAAGCGAUUUAAAACGAAGUUUCACGAUGGAUCUUUAUCUCCAACAAUAUUGAAUCUCCUCCUAAUUUUUUAAGUUUAGUGGACCAAAUCACAACCAGAAAAAUCUCUCAUUGAAGCCCUUUUGAGACACCAUUCUCCACGCGCCAAUUCUGUGUGUCCACGCAGAUCACCUUCUCAGAGAGCAGGCUGCUUGAAGGACCAGGAAAAACAGACCCUGAGUGAAAAAAGCCAAUCUCAAAAAAAGCCUCAGAAAAUUCCAGCCGGCGAAGGCACCAAACAGAAUGUAUGAGAAAAUAUUGUAAUUGGCUGGUGUAAGAGACAUUAAAAAACAGCUGAGAAUUUACAUCUUGUUUCACCAGAUGACUUCAUGUGAAGAUCACUCCCUCACAAGGCAGCCCAUGUCUUUUCUGAUCACCUCUAAUUAAUAGACGUAAUCAUUUCUGGUCAUCCUCAAAAGUCUCCUCUGACUAUCUCUUUUCGCCCUUGCCUGGGUAGGUGUGUAUCCUUCAUUCCAUACUACACUGCAUUUUAUCAGAUUUGGAUUUACCACCCUGGUGGUGAUGGUUUUGUUAUUUAUGUGAAUAUCUUCUUUGUCAGGAUGGGAGCUCUUUAAGAGCAAGAGCUGAGUGUUGUUCAUGUUGGAUACCUAGCACUGGGACAAUGCCUGGUUCAUAGUACAUGCACAUUUAACAGUUGUUGAAUGAGGGAGUGAAUGAACGGUACAGUUUACUGAAUUUCCAAUGGAGGUGGACCCUCCUUAGAAGGAAAGCCCAAU